AUGCUGUUGCCUCCCCUUGCCCUAACAGCCGUUUGUUAGGCUUAAUCUGAAUUGAGAAGCGUGGAUUCGGGAGUGGGGGGUGGGGUGGGGUGGGGUGGGGUGGGGGGAACAAAGCCCAAAGCUA
rnacentral:miRNA from 1 species